UAUUUGUUCAGGACUUGAAGUAUUAAUACUCUGUGGUACUGAUACUUUUACUCUGAUGAUCAGUAAAUGUAGAAAUGAUCGCAGACAAACUCACAGGGAUGAAGUUUGCGUUGACGUAGUCGGAUCCUUCGUCGUUGUGCAUCGACACCAACUUGACUCGACUGAAGUCGUCUGGAGGAAGAAUUCAUCAUCAUCAUCAUCACAACACACACACACACACGUCUCUGUACAGACGUGUGACUGAAUCAACGUGAUGAGAUAUGAAGAAGCGUCACAUGGGAGGAUGUUGGUGUAUCGGUUCUUGGGCCUGUUGACGGGCAGAUCAGCUGCAUCAUGGGAAAGAUCCAGACCGACGCUCUUCAGCUCCUGAACCACGUCACAAAGAAAUGAUCAACGUGUGAAAAGGAGUCCUGCCACAUGCAGUCGAAGCAUGAACACAACCAGCGACACAAGAAGGAGAAGACGACGAGUCUGAUGGACAUUGAGUGAUGAAGGUCAAAUACAAGAUGGAAGCCGAGCAGGCAGGGGAGGCGGAGUUCCUGCUCAUCAUCAUCAUCAUCAUCAUCAUCAUCAUCAUCACGGCCGUCGCCUCACAGACGACCUCAAAUCUGUAGCUACAAAUUCAAAUCCCUAAUCUGCCUCCUCAAUCCCCCGGCUGCUCAUCUGUGAUUCUGUCUGUUCUACGGUCACGUGACAGGAAGUCGUCACCACACGCUUCACUGUGAUUGGAGGAGGAGAAGCAGACGGAUCCUACCAGUUGUACGGAAGUUUCCCAUCUCGCUCGAACGAAGCGAAGUUGACGAACGUCUCCGCUCCACAUUCUCUGAAGAGACAGAAGAAGAAGAGAAGUGGACGAGCAGGAAGAGGACGAGCAGACUGACGAGCAGGACGCUGAGGACGGACAGAGCCGAAAUGGCCGCCACGCUGGGAUUCAUCUCUUUAGCUGCAGACACACGAGACACAAGUUCACGUCACUGACGCCAUGAACCACAUGAAAACCUUCAGCUCACCAAUAACUGAAUGUUAGAUGAUCAGAGACAGUUCUGGAGGCUGAUAUUUAUAUUAAUAAUAGUAAUAACAAAAACACAGUAGUGAGCUCCACAGCGCCACCUACCCACGGU